rnacentral:rRNA from 1 species
CGCCAGACUCCUACGGGAGGCAGCAGUGGGGGAUAUUGCACAAUGGGGGAAACCCUGAUGCAGCGACGCCGCGUGAGCGAUGAAGUAUUUCGGUAUGUAAAGCUCUAUCAGCAGGGAAGAAAAUGACGGUACCUGACUAAGAAGCCCCGGCUAACUACGUGCCAGCAGCCGCGGUAAUACGUAGGGGGCAAGCGUUAUCCGGAUUUACUGGGUGUAAAGGGAGCGUAGACGGCUGUGCAAGCCAGAUGUGAAAGCCCGGGGCUCAACCCCGGGACUGCAUUUGGAACUGUGUGGCUGGAGUGUCGGAGAGGCAGGCGGAAUUCCUAGUGUAGCGGUGAAAUGCGUAGAUAUUAGGAGGAACACCAGUGGCGAAGGCGGCCUGCUGGACGAUGACUGACGUUGAGGCUCGAAAGCGUGGGGAGCAAACAGGAUUAGAUACCCCAGUA